GAUGAACGCUAGCUACAGGCUUAACACAUGCAAGUCGAGGGGAAACGAUAGAGAAAGCUUGCUUUUUCUAGGCGUCGACCGGCGCACGGGUGAGUAACGCGUAUCCAACCUGCCCACCACUUGGGGAUAACCUUGCGAAAGUAAGACUAAUACCCAAUGACGUCUCUAGAAGACAUCUGAAAGAGAUUAAAGAUUUAUCGGUGAUGGAUGGGGAUGCGUCUGAUUAGCCAGUUGGCAGGGUAACGGCCUACCAAAGCGACGAUCAGUAGCCGGACUGAGAGGUUGAACGGCCACAUUGGGACUGAGAUACGGCCCAGACUCCUACGGGAGGCAGCAGUGGGGAAUAUUGGGCAAUGGGCGCAAGCCUGACCCAGCAACGCCGCGUGAAGGAAGAAGGCUUUCGGGUUGUAAACUUCUUUUGUCAGGGACGAGUAGAAGACGGUACCUGACGAAUAAGCCAACGGCUAACUACGUGCCAGCAGCCG
rnacentral:rRNA from 1 species